AAGUAAGAGCCCUGAAAGAUGUACAGGUAGAUAGGAUUGGAGUGGAAGUGUAGCGAUACAUGGAGCGGACAAAUACUAAUCGAUCGAGGACUUAACCAAAA
rnacentral:rRNA from 1 species